ensembl:snRNA Gm25968 predicted gene, 25968
GGGCUCAAUUCAAUAGCUCAACUACUAAAAUUGGAAGGAUGCAGGGAUUAGCAUGACCUCUGAGGGUGGCAUACAAAUUCGAGAAGUGUUCCAUAUUUUU